UAGUUUUGUCCAAAGUCAAACUUCUAUAGUUUUGACCAAGCUUUUAGAAAAAUAUACUAACAUCUAUAAAUUCAAAUAAAUGUUCUACCAAGACAUUUCAUGGAGAAUUCAAUGAAACUAAUUUGAUGUUCUAGAUGUUUGUGCAUUUCUUUAUAUAAAUUUGGUCAAAGUUAAAGAAGUUUGACUUAGGACAAAACCAU
rnacentral:pre_miRNA from 1 species